rfam:Rhodotorula toruloides ATCC 204091 scaffold00022, whole genome shotgun sequence.
GCAGCGGUAGCUCAGUGGUAGAGCGGUCGACUGCAGUGCAGAACUGAGAAGUUUGAUUUCCUCUAAAGCUCAGUCUGAAGCAUAUCGUCAGGUCCCCGGUUCAAACCCGGGUCGCUGCU